rnacentral:rRNA from 1 species
AAUAAACGCUGGCGGCGUGCCUAACACAUGCAAGUCGAACGGGAUCUUCGGGUCUAGUGGCGCACGGGUGCGUAACGCGUGGGAAUCUGCCCUUUGGUUCGGAAUAACAGUUGGAAACGACUGCUAAUACCGGAUGAUGACGAAAGUCCAAAGAUUUAUCGCCAGAGGAUGAGCCCGCGUAGGAUUAGCUAGUUGGUGUGGUAAAGGCGCACCAAGGCGACGAUCCUUAGCUGGUCUGAGAGGAUGAUCAGCCACACUGGGACUGAGACACGGCCCAGACUCCUACGGGAGGCAGCAGUGGGGAAUAUUGGACAAUGGGCGAAAGCCUGAUCCAGCAAUGCCGCGUGAGUGAUGAAGGCCUUAGGGUUGUAAAGCUCUUUUACCCGGGAUGAUAAUGACAGUACCGAGAGAAUAAGCUCCGGCUAACUCCGUGCCAGCCGCCGCCGUAA